rnacentral:rRNA from 1 species
GCUUACGGCCACACCGCCUGGUUCACUCCGAUCUCGUUUGAUCUCGGAAGCUAAAAUAGGGUGGGCCUGGUUAGUACUUGGAUGGGAGACCGCCUGGGAAUACCAGGUGUUGUAAGAU